rnacentral:lncRNA from 13 species
GGCCGCCGUGGCCGCUUUCAGGUGUCUCAGGUUCCUCUCUGAUCAAACAUAUCUGAUCGUAUCGCGACCCAUCGUGAUAUGUUAAAGCGUGAAGAGGGAGAUUGCGACAGAUGAGCACGAAUUUGAGAUUGAUACCAGGUGGGCCCCAGAAUAUCAUACUAGGAAUUUCCCCUUUUUCCAAUAAAUGGUUCAAAACAGUGUUUGGACCAAUGAUUUGUUCCUGCCCCACGUAAGCUGCAACACUCGUUGGCCUCAUCUCUUCAGCAAGUGAAACACGUUCCAAUGCUUCUGAGCUCGGCACUUUGGAAUGUUUGAUAGAAUUAUGUCCAGACAUGCUGUUGACACCGUUCGACAUUUGAUUGGGAUGUACUUUAAAUUUUUUCAUAAUUGUUGAUAAAGUUCACAUUGAAAGAAAA